AGUAGAUAUGGGGUUUUACCAUGUUGACCAGGCUGGUCUACGAACUCCUGAUCUCAGGUGAUCCACCCACCUUGGCCUCCCAAAGUGCUAGGAUUACAAGUGUGAGCCACUAUGCCCAGCCCAUUUUCUUAGUCGACAUGAAGCUCAGUAAAUGCUAGCCUCGGAGGUAAUUUUCAAAAAAAUUAGAAGCAACUGUGAAAACUUGUGUUUUGAAUGGAACUAUUAGGAGCAUGUGAAGCUGGAAAGUGGUCAGAACCUCUCUCUGCUGUCAUGCUGCCCUUACAAUGCUACAAGUAUUGGCAAAAGCCCACAUCAAAACUUGUGAUGAUAAUAACGGCUCAGUGCUACCUACUAGGAUGGUUAGAAGCAAAACCAAACCAAAUGGACAGCAAGUGUUGGCGUUGCUGUUAGGAAUGUAAAAUGGUGCAGCCGCUGUGGAAAACAGUUUAGCAGUGUCUCAAAAGAUUAAACACAGAACUACCGUAUUACCUGGAAAUUUCACUCCUAAGUAUAUAUUUAAAAGAAUUGAAACAGCGCCUGAAAGAGAUACCUGUACACUCAUGUUCAUAGCAGCACUAUUCUGUCUCUCUCUCUCUCUUUUCUUUUUUUUGGGGGGAGACAGAGUACCACUCCGUUGCCCAGGCUGCAGUGCAAUGACGUGAUCUCAGCUCACUGCGACCUCUGCCUCCUGGGUUCAAGUGAUUCUCCUGUCACAGCCUCCCAAGUAGCUGGGACUACAGGCAUGCACUACUACACCAGGCUAAUUUUUGUAAUUUUAGUGCAGACAGGGUUUUACCAUGUUGGCCAGGCUGGUCUCAAACUCCUGACCUCAAGUGAUGUGCCCACCUUGACCUCCCAAAGUGCUGGGAUUACAGGCGUGAGCCACCAUGCCUGGUCAGCAGCACUCUUCUCAAUACCCAAAGGUGGAAGCAACCCAAGUGUCCAGCAGUAGAUGAACGGAUGAACAAGACGGUGCAUAUACAUAUAAUGGAAUAUUAUUCGGCCUUAAAGCGAAGGCAGUCUUGAUAUUUGCUCUACUAUGAUGGACCUUGGAAACAUUCUGCUUCAUGAAAUAAGCCAGACACAGGAGGGCAGCUGAUGUAUGAUUCCACUUGCAUGAGGCUACCAAGCAGUUUCUCGAAGAGAUUAACAAGUGGACAGCUCAGUACAAUGUCUCCCCACUGUCUUGGAAUGUGGCUGUCAAGUUUCUCAUGGCCAGGAAGUUUGAUGUGCUCCGUGCCAUAGAAUUGUUCCACUCCUUCAGAGAAACUCGAAGGAGGGAAGGCAUUGUGAAGCUGAACCCUCAUGAGGAACCUCUUCGUUCUGAGAUCCUCAGUGGAAAAUUCACCAUCUUAAAUGUUCGGGACCCAACAGGAGCCUCCAUUGCCCUCUUUACUGCCAGGUUGCAUCAUCCCCACAAGUCAGUCCAACAUGUGGACUUCAGGCUCUGUUUUACUUGCUAGACAGAGCUGUGGAUAGGUAAGCAUUGAGAUUAUUUUUUAGGUGGUCUACAUGCAGGUAGGAAAGUGACAGUUUUUGACUUGAUUGAAUUCGGCAGUGCCUUCAUCCUUCUCCUAGGAUGUGCCCUGGGCAAUGAUAUGAAUAGAAAACAGUCCAUGUCCUUCAGGACUCAGCGUGUUUCCAGGCACUCUCAAGAUAGUGGCUGUUCUGUCUCUUUACCACCUUGGCUCUUGGUCAGGAAAACAGAAGCUGAGAAAGUCAAUUACCAGCAGUCUUCGGUGUAGGGAAAACUACUUACUGAAAGAGAAUGAGGAGGAGAUGACCUGUGCUGGUUCUUUUUGUUCAUAUCAGAACCCUCUAGGGCCUCAUUUUCUUUGUCUGCAUAACAGGAAUAAUGCCACUUAGAGGAUUUUGAGACUCAACAUUCAGGGGAGUGUUGGGGUCCGGCACAUCUGGCGGGGGGCUACCAACCUGCGGGAGUCCCUGAGACCGCCAACGUAGAUGUCUCGUUCAACCUGAGGGAGAGAGUGCGCGGAAGUGAAAGAAUAAAGGAAAGCAGAGUCUGGAGGUCUGCGUAACUUAUGGUUAAAAUGCAGCAAAUUUAUUCUUGUGGGUUACAGCUUUUAUACCUUUUUUCUUGUUUACAUUUACUUUA